UCCUGUGGGAGGCUGAUUUGAUCUCACAAGUCUCACACUUCUCUCACAAGACAGAGACUAAGUAUACAAAAGAGAAAACCCUCAAAAUACAUAGCUCUUCGUAUUCGAUUCGGAUCCAUAAGUUGAAUAUAGAUCGGGUCUGUACCCUACACUCCCACCACAAACCACUAUAAAAUUUUGCUUUUGGGUUUUUUCUCAAAUUAAUUCGGAACAGAUUCAUGAAGUGGGUCGGUUUUACAAUUUUACUGUGGUGGUUGACUUCAUGUUUAUCUAAACCUUUUUCAUGUUUUUUUGUUUUAAUUUCUUUUCCUUUUUCUUUACUCCUAUUUGGCCAGACUAAUAUACCUAUACGCAUAUUCAUAUUCUUCUCACUUAACAAUGAAACUGUCCUUCGGAUUUUACCAAUUUGAUCAAGGUGAAGCCUGAAAUAUUCAUGAAGAGAGAAUCUGUGAUCCUGGGGUCCUAGGACUUGUAAAUGAUUGCGAUUGGGAGCUAAUCAGUCAACUGUAGAGUGUAUACUGUAUCCAAGGAGAAAAAUGCAGUACCCUUCAUUUGGACCUUUCAUGGUAGAUAGCAUUCAAGGAAUGUAAAAUCCUACUCAAUGAUGAGCCUGUUGCAAUCUACAUGCAGUUUAGCAUCAAGAUCUCUGUAGUUAAGAUUUUCAAUCUCAGAUUAUCAGAUUGAAGCAUGUAGGUAAAAAGUGGGAUUAUCAAUUUAUCAGUUUGAUACGUCUCUGAGACUGUCGUUGCAGACCAUAUGUUUGACUCCUGUUUUGAUACAAUGUGUGAUUGAUAUCUGUCCCUGAGGCUGUUGCAAAGUCAGGAAAAGAUUCAAGGAGGAUAUCCUUUCCCUCAA